ensembl:lncRNA
UGCUUUCUCAAUUUGAAUAAAGCAGACCACAGAAAGACUAAUAUUUUUACUUCCUAUAGAUUGUAUUACUGUUUUGUUUUAAAAAUGCUUAUUAUUUUAAUGAUCUUUUUUAUUGGGUUUUUAGAUGAUAUCCAUCACUUUGCUCAUUUAAUUUUCUCUGCAGUUUUGUUAACUAACUCUUGCCCUCAAAUUUCACUGUAUUUGAGAUGACUUCUAGAUGCCAAUGUCUGAGCCAGUUCAUUCGAUGUCAAGUAGCACUGUUAUCAUAGCUCAUGGUGGUUAAUAGUUGAAAGUAUAUAAAUCGAAAUAUUUAGAAUCGGUCAUUCUCACUUUUAAUUAAAAAUGAUUUGCCUAUUAAAUAUGUGUACAGAUGUCUUUGAUGCGGGGAAGUAAGCACAGAAACGUCCUUGGAUUGAGUAGCUGAUAGCAGGGGCUAGUGGGGUAUCUGAAGAUUCGGGGGAGGGGAAGAGGUACAUUGGCACUUGCUCUUAGCACCUAAAAGCUCCUAUAGAUCUCAUAAGGCUUUAGGAAAUAAACAGGCCCCCCUCUAUCAUUCCACAACCCAUGUGCCUAUGUGAAUAUCGGUAGGAUUUUGUAAAAGGUUCGUCCGUAUCAUUCUAAAGAUGAUUUAGAACAGAACCAAUGUUUCUGGGACUUGGCAUUUGCCUUGUUCCGCUGUUACGGCUGGGACUCUCCUGUCUGCACCCAGUGAAUCUGAUCUAGCCCCCGGCUCCACCCCCAGCUCUCUCUCAGCUUGGCUGGGUUUUAGAAGCAGGCAAGAGAGAGUCACCAUAGUAACAGCACCCCCAGUUCCUCCACCUGCUUAGGGACUUUCUGCUCAGCAUCCAGACUUUUUUUCCUUCUUGCCCCCUUUCCUUCAUGCAGGACCUCACAUUUAUUGACACAGCUCUUUGCAGCAUCCAGAGGGUCCUCAUAAAACCUCUUUUCAGCGUCCCAGUGCCUCAUGAGAUAGGCCAGAGACACGAAAAACUUGAGACUGAGAGGGGUAAGGGCUAGCACUGGAACCUUGGCUGCUGGAUACAGCUAACUGCCUGGGCGCACAGGCUGACAAGGAGCCAUGGUCAGGAGGGGGUCUGGGAAGUGAGCCCUUCUGCCGCCAACAAAUGCGAGGACAUUUCUCUAGGACAAAGGCCACAAGAGAAGCAGGAUGUGACCUACCAGGCAGGGCCGUAGCCGUUAUGCUGACUCCAUGGUGAACUUGCAGGCAGUGAACCCUGCCUGGUCCUGGACCUUCAGAACCGGAUUCUCUGCAGACUCUGUGACUGCCAUCUCAGACUCGCCUUCCUCUCCUUGCUUGGCAGCAGCCUUGCACAAGACAUUUUUGAGGGCACUUCUAAGACUUAUGACUUCCCAUGGCCAAAAUGACAUCCUUACCCAGAGCUCUGAAAACUUGGAACAGAGCUAAUGAAUCCAGCCAACAAAAUCCAGGUUAAUGUGAAAGGAAACAUAUACCCCAAGACCUCGUUUGCAUUUUGUACUUGAACUUGGGUGGAGAGUUUUUUCUAGAAGAGGCGGAGAUGCCACUGGAGGAAGAAAACUGUUGUGGAAAGUUUCUUCUGUUACAUUCUGGCAAGGCUUUGGGGGACAGAGGCAGUGUCAUCAAAGGAUCUUGCUUCUGAACUCUUUCCAUUUCCUGAGGAAGACGGUGUAGGUCUCUGGUUAAAUCGCUUAUGAAAUAGACACCACUUCCCAUCCUUUGUUGAUGAGGAUUCAUGAUAUUUCACUUGUCGACAGCUCACGGCAAUGCCAGAUCCUGACCUCACUGAGCAAGGCCAGGGGAUCGAACCCACAUCCUCAUGGUUACCAGUCAGGUUCAUUAAUGCUGAGCCACAACGGGAACUCCCAAUGAGUGAGUAACUCUUGUUCACCAUUUCCUCACAGAGGCACAUUUAAAAUCGCAGGCGACCCUCUGUUCCAAACACCUGUCUCUGUUCAAAUCAAACGUCUUACCCUCAGGAACAGUGAGGUGGCCAAGAAAAUCUCCGAGGUAAUUUGUGCAUGAGAAGGAACACCAAGAGUAGAACAUCAUGGAAAACGCUGGAACACCAGCCCCAAGGCCAUCAUGUUGAGCAGAAGCGAAAAAUGACACCAACAGCAGAGGAUGAUGCUGAGGCACCUGCUGGGUUGGGAACAGCAGGCCUGUGCCCCUUGUGACUAACAGAGGCAGGAGGCAGGGCCCCGUGGGGGUGUCUUCCCUCCACCUUCUCUAAUAAGACUCUUGUCCAUUGGAAGAAACAUCACAGGGCAAGUUGCCAAGCUGUCACAAAGCACACAGCUGUAAGGAGUUACCCCUUCCUAAUUCAAGUUCAUUGUUGCAUCCUGACUUUCUGGGAAGUUUUUCCUUAGCUGGCCACACUGGAAGUUCCUGUGUCCUGCUUAAAAUCUCAGCUUACGGCUGCUCUUGGUAUCCUGCAUAUUGGCCUUUGCGUGUUCCAACAGGCAGAUUUCCUUCCUGCAAAAUUCCGCAAUUGCUUGUAAGUCGAUUCUACUUCCAUUGAACAAAAAAAAAUCUGAAAGUGCUGUUUUUAAUUCCUGUGACCCGUGAGUUCCCGUGAACACAGCUGUUCUGAUGGCGCUUUAACCUUGUGCACUGCGACACAUAUUUGCUUCCUCCAAGACUUGCCCGGUUGGCUUCCGUUUUACAUGCUCAAGGCCAUGUCCGUAUCUAAGAGAUACAUACUCUUGCGUCUUUGGUCCGAGACUUAGAAACGUCGUGGCAGUCAUUGCUUCGGUUCCAUCCUGGGUCCCUAGGGUGGCCCGGUUCAGUAGUGCUUGUUUUCCUUCCUGCUUGGUUAUUGCUGGGGAUGCUCAACUCAGUGUUUCCUCCCUGACUGCCUCCUGAAACCCAGCCAUCCUUCCCCACAGGAGAGCCAGCCCCUGCUGAUAGGAAAUCUUUCCAUGCCCACACGCCCACGGCACUUUGCCAGCCUGGAUGGCUGCCAGUGGUUUGCUCUAGUUGCAAGGAGUUGAUUUUCCCUGGAUGGCAGUACUGGGCCACACAGGUGGCCCGCGGCACAGUAGGCUCUUCAUUGAU